AUUAUUUAUGGGGGCCCCAGACAGGGGCAAGAUAGGUGGGCUGGCCCAGAAGCGGGCAGGCAGCAGCCCACUUAUACAAGAGAACAGUUGCAGCGUGCCAUCCAGCUCCUGCGGGUGGUGGUCCACCUCCUAGUGGACCACUUUUUUAAUUUGUUAUUGCGAUUAAUUUAAUUUUAUUUAAUAAAAAUUUUUGUUCUUGUA